GAGGUUUCUGGGGUUAUAGCCCCAUCACUGUGGGGCUCUCAGAGGCCGUUCCUCUGAGAAGAAGAGAAAUAACAUCUGCACUAUUAAAAUUGCCCAUGAGCUCUGUCUGUUGUCAGCAGCAGGCGAACCAUGUGUGUGGUGUGGCUCUAACGAGGUUAUUGGUGGGCAAGCAGGAAACUGAAACAAGGGGGCUGGGAGAAAGAUGCCCGAGGGUCAGAGAAACUGAAAAGAAGCCCUUUUGGGAAUGAAAAAUGAGCAAAAGUAAGGAAGCGCAGAGGUAACAUUUCCAUUGCCCUGCUCUGCUCUGGGCCAGGCAUUCCUCACUGCCUCGGCUUCUUCAACCAGUGUCCCCAGAAGAGCAUUCCAAACGGUCCUGAGACAACCAACAGGAGAGGAGAAUCCAAAGCUCUGUCAGGCAUCAAGUCCAAAUGAUGAGGUAGAGAUGGAAACCAGAAACCAAGCAAUGACAUUGGAGGCCCAUCUGGUCUGGAGCAUGACAGGAUGAAGCAGGAUGAACAGGUCAAGGCAAGAGGUUCAGGCUGGAGGCUGUGGACAGCAGGUCCUGGAUGGUACCCAAGAAGUGCUGCCAGGAUGGGAAUAGAAUCUAAAGGACACUCGUGAGCAAAUCGGUUUCAUCAGAUUAUCAUCCUAACUCACUGACCAUGACUGUUAUGAUGAUCCAGUAACAAACAAAAAUGUGUCCUCUUUUUCUCAGUCUGUUGUAAAAAGUCAUUUCUGCUCUGGUUUUUUUCUUUUCUUUCUUUUUUGUUUAGAGACAAGGUCUUGCUGUGUCACCCAGGCUGGAGUGUAGUGGCAUGAUAAUAGCUAACUGCAGCUUCAAACUCCUAGGCUCAGGGGAUCCUCCCAAGUAGCUAGGACUGCAGGCAUGCCAUUUUGCUUCACUUAGUUCAUUCAAAAAACACUUAUUGGGAAGAGAAUAGAUGUAAAAUGGUAGUAAGAUGCUGCUUAAUAUAUAAAAAUGAAUAAGACUUGAGACCUACUUUCAAGAAACAUAUGGUAUAACUAACAUGGGUAAGAAGAGAAAUCUAUAACUAUAAUAAGAUGCAUUAAAUGAGGUCAGUGAACGAUCACCGUUAUUAUGAGAGUGAUGAUGAUGGUGAAAGGAGCUAUAAAGAGUGAAAUGAGUGUAAUCACAUUCAGAUGAAGGGAUGGUAAAAUCAAAAGGAAAAAGAAGAAAUCAUGGGCAACAUUUAUCCUAAGUAAUGAGGUAGGGUGGUGUAAUGGCAAGACAUGGGCUCACCUCUCAGAUCGUACAAUUUCCAUGUGCCUCAGUGUAACCACUGAGUUCUUUGAACUUUAGAGUUUUUUUCUUUUUCUUUGGAAAAUUAGCGAAUACUACUAACCUACUGUAAGGAUCAAGUGGAAUAAUGCAUGUCAAGAUCCCUGCACAAUGCCUGGCUCAUAGUAGCUGUUUUGUAAAUGUUUAUUUUCCUUCCAAAUUAAGUCUACUUGCGUAACAUGCUUCAUUCCUUAAUUGCCAUUAUCUGUUGUAUUAACUAUCUAACAUAUAUAAAGACUUUUUAAAAAAUAUUCUGACUGGGAGCGGUGGCUCACACUUGUAAUUCCAGCACUUUGGGAGGCCGAGGCAGGCAGAUCACUUGAGGUCAGGAGUUCACGACCAGCCUGGGCAACGCAGUAAAACCCCAUCUCUACUAAAGAUACAAACAUUAGCUAGGUGUGUUGGCUCAAGCCUGUAAUCCCAGCUACUCAAGAGGCUGAGACAUGAGAAUCGCUUGAACCCGGGAGGUGGAGUGCGGUGAGCUGAGAUCGCGCCAGUGUGCUCCAGCCUGAGUGAUAGCAUGAGACUCUGUGUCAAAAAAAAAAAAAAAAGUUCUUACCUCUUGUUAAGUAUAUCUGUUAUGUAAUUGAUUGUAUAACUUUUAGCUGUAUCAUUGCUCUUGUUCUAUUAACCUUAUGUCUAAAAAGCAAAUGAUGUACACUGUACUUUCCUGGCCAAAAAAAACCCCACAAAAAACAAAUAAGAGAACCAUUGUGAAAGUGGUUUUCAAACUAUCAAGUGUAGGAAAUGGUAUUAUCAUAAUGUGUACCUUAUCUUAUGUUCCCUCAUUUAGAAAGAAAUCCCUGCCCUCUACCCUUUGAGUGGGAGACACCUUUAGCAGAUUUGAACUGGGUUUUUACCCUGGCAUGUCUUUAGGCAAGUUUUGUAGUGACUGCAGGCUAUUUCUUUGGAAUAUUUAGGGUCUGCUUGAGGCUGGCUUGGAACUUGGCCAGUGCUUUCCAUAGAGGUGCAACACUGUACAUGUAAAAAGAAAAUAGAUCAGAAUCUCCUGUAGCUGUGCUGUCUCGUUCCUCAGCUAAAGGUCAUUCUUAAUCCUUCUAUAGCUCCCAGAAUGCUGUAUGCAGUGGUUUUUUAAAUGCGCCAGGGAGGAAAUGGCAUCUAUAAAGCAAAGCAGGAAACAACCUCUUCACAGGAGCAAGAGACCACAAAUGUUCCAGAAUUCCAUUUAAAACACUGCAAAGAUGAGUUCUAGGGAAACUUAUGGUCAUGUUUUUCCCAUAGUUAAAUUUUGGAACUAUAUUCCUGGGUAGGAUUAUGGCUGGGACUUUAACCAUCAGCCUUCUGUAAAAGGGAAUGAAGAAAGAGGCAAGUCCAUGAACCAGUGUCACCACGGACGCAGAGGAUGGUAUUAACCAUGGCUGGGGAGUUCCCACUAAACCCAGGGACCACCAAGCUGAGAUCAAUGUGAGACUAACUGCUUCUCAGAAACAUAGAAAUCAAAAGCAACACUGAGAAUGUCACACUCAGACUGUUGUGAAGCACAUGGCAUUGAACACUGAGAAUCCGUGGGCCUGACCUGCAGAGCUGACUCCUUUCCUUAGCAGCCCCAUUUCUCAGGAGGAGCAGCAAACCCCCACCUCCAGUAGAAGCCAACCAAGUCCAUUUCCCAUAGCCACUGGCAGCCCCUUAAUCACUGAGUAUUUUCCACAGGCUGGACUACAUAGAACUUACCCAUUCAGAGAAGGGGUUAUUUCAAAACUAAAAGUAAAUUUGUUCUCUGAAUAUGAUCUCAUUUCCACAUUUCCUAAGCUUACCAGCAGCUUGAGUUUCCUUUUUUCUAUUCAUAGCAGUUCCUUCAUCUACUUUUGACUCAACCCUUAUCAAAGCAGGUAUAGUUCCCUCAGACAUUUGUCUGGAAAAACCAUGUAAGUGACUCAACAACAAACAACUAAGGAAGCAUGAGCACUGCUGUAUCAUCUUUUUGGUUUAGUAUCCUUUAUUUUCUAGAAGUGAUGCUUUUGUAUCUAGCUUCUUUGUAUGUAUUAGCUAAUAGAACAAAAACAGAAAAAUAUUUACAUAUAUAUAUUUUACACAAAUAUAUAUGUAUAUAUAUAAAAUGUGUUGGCCAACACCCUUAUAAUUUACUGCAUAAGUUGUACACAUUAAAAGAAAAAAAAGAUAGCAAUGUCUCCUUUAAAAGUUAUGCCAAAAUUAAAACCCAUGCCACUUGAAAAGGUUAAAGCAUACUAUUUCUAACACCUAUUAAACUUCUUUGCUUUCUUAAAACAUUCUGUACAGAUACUGCCUAACUGUGGAAAUCAGUACAUCCUUUUCCUCUUUU
rnacentral:lncRNA from 10 species